AUGGUGUCUAAAGUGGAAGAAGCAAUGAAAAGAAGGCAGCAACAACAAGAACAGAAGCAGCAAUAUCAUCACCAGCAGCAGCAGCAGCAGAAGCAAAUACAGUGUAACAAAAGCAAAGUUUGCAAAUUCAAGAGGAGCACCUCCAAUGUCGAAGAAGAUGGAGCUUCCACUGCCAUUCUCUUGCUUGCUUGCAUCGUCUGCGCUCCUUCGUAUCCAUAG
rnacentral:lncRNA from 1 species